rnacentral:rRNA from 1 species
UAUUAGUCAAUGGCCUAACGGCUGAACUGGCAACUUGGAGAAGUGGCAAGUCUUCCAGUAUGGGGAGCAAAACAGCUAUGGGUCAAGUCCGAUAUCUUUAGGAGAAGUCUUAUUGUGAGGGCGAGUUAUAUAACACCGUAGGACUGGCCGUCCCAUAUGAAAAGAUUAUAUUAGAAUUGAAUGAAGCUUUGUUUAUAUAUUGAUAAUGACAGUAUAUAUAUCGUGUCUUGACUAAUUGCGUGCCAGCAGUCGCGGUAAUACGUAAGAGACUAGUGUUAUUCAUCUUAAUUAGGUUUAAAGGGUACCCAGACGGUCAAUAUAGCUUAUAAAAUGUUAGUACUUGACUAGAGUUUUAUGUAAGAGGGCAGUACUUGAGGAGGAGAGAUGAAAUUUCGUGAUACCAAAGGGACUCUGUAAAGGCGAAGGCAGCCCUCUAUGUAAAAACUGACGUUGAAGGACGAAGGCACAGAGAACAAACAGGAUUAGAUACCCAAGUAGUCUUUGCAGUAAAUGAUGAAUGCCAUAGGUUAGAUUGGUCAAUUAUAGUCUAGGGUUAGUCUAGCAAACUAAUACCUAUACUAUUAUACCUAAUAUCUGGUCUAUAAAUGAAAGUGUAAGCAUUUCACCUCAAGAGUAAUGUGGCAACGCAGGAACUGAAAUC